CAGGUACUCCCUCCGUCCGGAAAUACCUGUCACCAAAAUAAAUAAAAGGGGAUGUAUCUAGACGUAUUUUAGUUAUAGAUACACCCCUUCUUAUCCAUUUUGAUGACAAGUAUUUUCGGACGGAGGGAGUAUUAU
rfam:Triticum aestivum genome assembly, contig: Triticum_aestivum_CS42_TGACv1_scaffold_093869_2AL